GUGUUUGCUCCGGCAGCACAUAUAUUAAAAUUGGAAUGAUACAGAGAAGAUUAGCAUGGCCCCUGUGCAAGGAUGAUACACAAAUUCGUGAAGCGUUACAUAUUUUA
rnacentral:snRNA from 1 species